CCUUAUUGCCUGCAAAGCUGCCUGAAAAAGUAGUUUCUCAAGAAACAUUAGAGUAAUAAAUGAAUGACUGAAAUGGUGUGUAAGCCAUAACCAUCUUAGAAACAGCUGUGAAAUCAAGCAUGCGGUCAGGGAGAUGUGGCUCCUCUCCACUGCACAGUGUCUAUAUCACUGAUCAGGUGGAUAGAUAGUCCCAGAAGGAGGCCCUCACCAACCCAUUUCCCCAGACAUAGUCAGAACUGGGGUCAGCUGCACAGAUGGGAACCGCAGGAAGAAGAAGACCCUUAACAAGGACCAGGAAAGUGGGGUAUGCAUAAAGAAAGGAAGCUGUUCUUGCAAUGUGCCAGUGACCUCAUGCCUGUCCCUGAGGCCAGCAUGACUGCUUGCAGUGUAAGCGACCCAUCUGCCAGGGUGACCUCAGGCCUCAGAGUAACAGCAAGUAAAGCCAUGAACACACUGUUCUCUGGA